rnacentral:rRNA from 1 species
CAUAGGUUAAUGAGGCGAACCGGGGGAACUGAAACAUCUAAGUACCCCGAGGAAAAGAAAUCAACCGAGAUUCCCCCAGUAGCGGCGAGCGAACGGGGAGGAGCCCAGAGCCUGAAUCAGUGUGUGUGUUAGUGGAAGCGUCUGGAAAGGCGCGCGAUACAGGGUGACAGCCCCGUACACAAAAAUGCACAUACUGUGAGCUCGAUGAGUAGGGCGGGACACGUGGUAUCCUGUCUGAAUAUGGGGGGACCAUCCUCCAAGGCUAAAUACUCCUGACUGACCGAUAGUGAACCAGUACCGUGAGGGAAAGGCGA